GUUUUAUUAAGUUAUGACGCAGAUUUAGUUUGACAGAAUUGAAAGACUUUGUUUUAAUCUUACUGUGUUCAAAUUUACACUUAAGCAUUGAUAUUUGUUCGAAAAUAACGGGUUAAUUCACGUUUAAUCAGGUUUCUACGGAGUUAUAUUUUAAAAAUUUCAAUAUUUCUGAGUACAGUGGUGAAGUUUUGGCCGAGUUUCUGUGUAUAUUGACGUGAAACAUAAAACCUAUUCAAUGCGGUUUACUCUACAGCGUAAAAUGUGGAAGAUCGUAGUUGUCGAAAUUGUAUAUAGCCUACACUUAAAUGUGCGAAAACAGAAAAAUUGGCAGCAGUUUCCUCAACAAAAGAAUGAGAUUUAUAAUUGUUUAAUAAUUAAUUGAAGUAUUUGAAGGAUAAAUUCACCAACGAAGACAUUUUAAUCUAAAUAUCUCGGCGAUGCCUCCCUAGAGGACUUUAAGUGUCACCAACGUGAAGAAAACCCAACCAUUGGCGUGAAUCCACGAUUACUGACUGUUCAGUGGGUUUAUCUACUCGGUCACUUGAAGGCUUCAUGGAUUUUUGAUGGAAACCAUUUGUAGUGAAUUUUAAAUGGCAAGAAUGGAAAUUUUCACACGGGCAACGCGUGUUACCAAGUUCUCGACCUCGUGCGAGAGAAUUUAUUCGAUCAACUCAUUAAUUACUUGUUAAGAGGGUUUGUAUUCUUCGGUUUCAAUUGUAUUAUUAUUUUUUUUUGUAGAAUGUUACUAAAUUGUAAUUAAUUAUUUUUACAAUUGCGCUGAAAGGCAGUUAAAAUUAUCGUAAUGUUUUCCCCAUCAGCAGAUGCAGCAGGUGCAUCUCUGCCAAGAUUUGGCAGUUAACGAGGUAUUGUUCGCAGCAAGAAACCGAAACUCCGCAGAAGUGUGUUACAUCCGUGCAGCAGAAUCGAGUAUUACCGAAAAGUCUAAACUGCGAGAAUAAAUUUACAAUAUGAAGCGGAGAAAAGAAAUUUACAGUUUUCUUCCUUCGAUCGAGCUACAGUCACCGGGAUUUCGAGAAAACAACGAUCAAAUCGAUCUCGAGAAGAACGAGACGGGCUUCGACGAAUUUCUCUUAAAUACCUUCGUCAUAUUAUUUUAAUGAACAAAAAUAAUCGAUUCAGAUUUUUUUAAAAAUGUUAUCGGAAGAGGGGAAAAUGCUCACACCAGGAAAACGCUACGAAUCCGAAUCUUUCCCCCCCCCCUUUCUUCCAUAUCUCGACUUUCAUCAUUGGAUGUGGUGAAUAGAUACGAAGAUUAGUUAGCAAAUUAAUUGAUUGUUCGGCCCUUCCACCACCAACGCCAUUCCAAUCGGUUCAUAAAAAUUUUCCACGCGAGGAACAUCUUAAUCAGGUCUGACACCCAAUAGGGUCGACUGGGAGGUUUCGCUCGCGUAGCGUGGUCAUUUCGUUCCUAUCGUUACACCAGAGUCGAUAGAUAUACUGGUUCCUUGAGCUGCCAAUAGCUCUAAUGCUACGGAAGUGGCGUAAUCAAUAUUUCUGCCACUUCGAGCGCCGCGAUCGCUUCGCGGCGUAAGUUUGGCUCGAGCGUAGGGAGAGUCAGCUGUAAACAUUCGAAAUUCUUUUAACAUAUGAAAUUUUCUCGUUUUUAACUCAGAUAUUGUUUUCGUCUUUUCUAAAGGACCGCUUAUAAAUACUGUUUUAAUUCGGGUUUGAACAUUAUUUAUUCGUAAAUGUCGUUAAUACUUCUAUUUCUAUUACAGGGGAUUAAAAGUCAGUAGAUUUAGUUCUCGGAUUUCAAAUAUAGGCCGUUAAAGGAAAAAGGAAAUUCCAACUAUUUAGGCAACAUAUUCAACAUAAUAACUUAGAGGUAAUUAGAGGAUGAUGAGUUGGAGGUUGACAAAUAAAAUAGGUAAAUGUGGGAUGGCAAGAGUUCAGAUGGUAUUAUUAGAUAAUGACAGUGGUAGUGAUGAGGCUAAAAGACAUGUUAGUGAUAUUUUAAACCUAUAUAAACAAAGGACAGGUGUAGUAAUCUUCAUUCAUAUUCUACUUUUGAUAUGAUAUAAAUUACCAAAAUAUGUAGAGUCAAUGAGAGUGUCAUAAGGAAUGUAAGUUCUCGUGUCAAAAAUACAAAACGAUUUCAUCCCAAAUACUAUUUCUCACUAUACCAAAUCAAGUGAAAUUGUAUAUCACACUUUAUGUAGUGUUAAAGUUAAUAAAUUAUUUAAAAAAUAGUUCGUCUUUAUCCGAAUUAAAUUUCUAUUGCUAUUUAAAUGUAUCGGAGGAUAAGCUAUGGUUUUCCUAAUUGUAUUGUUAUACAUAUGUAAUAAAACAAAACAGUAACACGCAAAUUUAUUUACUUAUUAUAUUAUUACCUACGUUAUACUCAGAACGUUCACAGUAUGUAGCAAUAAAAUAGUUUUGGACAGAUCUCUAUUUAAAAUCUGGAUGAAUUAUUAUUCACAUCCUCAUCUGUAAUUUCAAAUUAUCAUCUUAUUUUUUAUAACCAAAUAGAUAAAAAAAUAAAAAAUAAAAUAAAACUUCUCGCCGUAGUGCGACUCGAACGCCAGCUAUCGGCAAUCCGACACAUUAAUAGCUCGAGGACCAGUAUAUUUAUCGACUCCGGUUAUACUAGCAUCCGAGUGCCAACUUCCGGUUCUGCCGACAAAACGAAAAAUUUACACGAAUUAAGACUAGUUCGUACUUCGCCAGAAGGGAAAAGAGAAGCGCGUUCUGUUCGGUUUCCUGUUGUUCUUUUCCGGUAAGUGUUGGCAAUUAGAAGCGACUAAAGAGACGUGCGCACGCAUUUCGAUCUGGCGAUACGACGUAAAAGAAACGCGCAUGCGUUCUCAGUACCUGCAGUUUAAAACAUGGCGCCUCUCGUCUACUAUCGAAAGCGUGCUUUGAAGGAGUAUCCGAGUGCGAAAUUCUUAAAAAAAUGAAACGCAUUUUCGAAAUUUUAGGUAAGUUUUAAAUAUGUAUUGUACUGUACUUAAAAGUAAGAAGUUCGGGCCGAUUUAUACGUCUCUGGAACGGAAGGGAGAAGAGAGAACGGCACCGAAUAAGUUCGUUAUGCCAUUACUAGUCGCGUCGCGCAUUACUAGUGACGUACUUCCGUCCUAAAUCGGUAGCCCACAAUCUUCUGCGCCUUUAACACGGAGAUUUAAAAUCGAAACGAUUAUAAUUAAAUUGGAAUUUAUCUUCGACGAAUCGUUUAUUUAGCGUAAGUUAAUCAAAUCCGAACAGAUUAAAACCUGCCUAAAAUGUUUGGAAUCGCCUUCCUUAAUUUCUCUCAUACUUUUAGGAAGGCCUGACAUCUGGAUUUUGGACACUACAUCCUUGUUUGGCAAUACUUUGACUCAAAGUUUAGUUUGUUCACCUUGGUGCCCAAGUAAUAAAAUAACAUAAUAGGAAUGUUUGUUAUAUGUCGUUUAUAAUAGCAAUAAGAAAGCCUUUUUUCAUGUCUUCGUGGAUUUGACAAGACUCAAUGGUGCAGCUAGAUAGAGAAGAACGAGUCCUAACAUAUCUGGGUGAAACCAUGUAUGAAGAAUUUCUGAAGCUUCAGUCUAAACUGGAACCGAACACUCGGAGCUGCAAAUUAAUGCAGACUUAAAAGGAAUGAACAUUUUCUAUUUACAUUGACAUAGCUACGUGCCUACUAAAUUAGUGUCUGCUUCUAACCGACACCGGGCAUCUUUGGAUACUUAAACCCUACAUGAUCACAAUAUUUUCUUUUCUGGUAUCAAGGCUACAAAUUAGCAGAUUGCACAUUUGUUGCUUCCUAAAUGACAAUGAUGGAAUGAAAAUGGUUCCAUAUUUGUGCAAAGACUAAUAUGCAAAUUGUGCAUUCUGAUACAUAGGGGGAUACCUUUGGGUGCAGCACCCCUCAGGCCCCAUUAUCUCCUAGGAAAAGAAAA